CCUACGGGAGGCAGCAGUGGGGGAUAUUGGACAAUGGGGGGAACCCUGAUCCAGCGACGCCGCGUGAGUGAAGAAGUAUUUCGGUAUGUAAAGCUCUGUCAGCAGGGAAGAAAGAAAUGACGGUACCUGACCAAGAAGCCCCGGCUAACUACGUGCCAGCAGCCGCGGUAAUACGUAGGGGGCAAGCGUUAUCCGGAAUUACUGGGUGUAAAGGGAGCGUAGACGGUUAAGUAAGUCUGGAGUGAAAGGCCGGGGCCCAACCCCGGGACUGCUCUGGAAACGAUUUAACUUGAGUGCAGGAGAGGUAGGCGGAAUUCCUAGUGUAGCGGUGAAAUGCGUAGAGAUUAGGAGGAACACCAGUGGCGAAGGCGGCUUACUGGACUGUAACUGACGUUGAGGCUCGAAAGCGUGGGGAGCAAACAGGAUUAGAUACCCUAGUAGUC
rnacentral:rRNA from 1 species